rfam:Culex pipiens quinquefasciatus supercont3.24 genomic scaffold, whole genome shotgun sequence.
GCAGCCGUGACUGAUUGGUUACGGUGUUCGCUUUGUAAGCGAAUGAUCCUGGGUUCGAUUCCCAUCUGCUCCA